UACGUAGGGUGCAAGCGUUAUCCGGAAUUAUUGGGCGUAAAGAGCUCGUAGGCGGUCUGUCGCGUCUGCUGUGAAAACUGGGGGCUCAACCCCCAGCCUGCAGUGGGUACGGGCAGACUAGAGUGCGGUAGGGGAGAUUGGAAUCCUGGUGUAGCGGUUGGAAUGCGCAGAUAUCAGGAGGAACACCGAUGGCGAAGGCAAGAUCUCUGGGCCGUAACUGACGCUGAGGAGCGAAAGCAUGGGGAGCGAAACAGG
rnacentral:rRNA from 1 species